rnacentral:rRNA from 1 species
AUGCACGCUGGCGGCGUGCCUCAUCCCUGCCAGUCGAGCGAACAGAUGAGGAGCUUGCUCCUCUGACGUUAGCGGCGGACGGGUGAGUAACACGUGGAUAACCUACCUAUAAGACUGGGAUAACUUCGGGAAACCGGAGCUAAUACCGGAUAAUAUAUUGAACCGCAUGGUUCAAUAGUGAAAGACGGUUUUGCUGUCACUUAUAGACGGAUCCGCGCCGCAUUAGCUAGUUGGUAAGGUAACGGCUUACCAAGGCAACGAUGCGUAGCCGACCUGAGAGGGUGAUCGGCCACACUGGAACUGAGACACGGUCCAGACUCCUACGGGAGGCAGCAGUAGGGAAUCUUCCGCAAUGGGCGAAAGCCUGACGGAGCAACGCCGCGUGAGUGAUGAAGGUCUUCGGAUCGUAAAACUCUGUUAUUAGGGAAGAACAAAUGUGUAAGUAACUAUGCACGUCUUGACGGUACCUAAUCAGAAAGCCACGGCUAACUACGUG